UCCGGGUGAAAUGGCAAGUGCCUGUCAUCUCAGCUACUUGAGAGGCUGAGGCUGGAGGAUCGCUUGAGUCCAGGAGUUCUGAGCUGUAGUGCGCUAUGCUGAUCGGGUGUCCACACUAAGUUCAGCAUCAAUACGGUGGUGACCUCUCAGGCGCGGGGAACCACCAGUUUGCCUAAGGAGGGGUGAACCGGCCCAGGUUGGAAAUGGAGCAGGUCAAAACUCCCGUGCUGAUCAGUAGUGGGAUCGCACCUGUGAAUAGCCUCUGCACUCCAGCCUGGGCAACAUAGCAAGACCCCAUCUCU
rnacentral:SRP_RNA from 1 species